AUACGUAGGGGGCAAGCGUAGUCCGGAAUUACUGGGCGUAAAGGGUGCGUAGGCGGCUCUGCAAGUCAGGUGUGAAAACCAUCGGCUUAACUGAUGGACUGCAUUUGAAACUGUGGGGCUUGAGUGGAGUAGAGGCAGACGGAAUUCCCGGUGUAGCGGUGAAAUGCGUAGAGAUCGGGAAGAACACCAGUGGCGAAGGCGGUUUGCUGGGCUCUAACUGACGCUGAGGCACGAAAGCAUGGGUAGCAAACAGGAUUAGAUACCCUGGUAGUCCAUGCCGUAAACGAUGAUUACUAGGUGUGGGGAGUCUGACCCUCUCCGUGCCGGAGUUAACACAAUAAGUAAUCCACCUGGGAAGUACGACCGCAAGGUUGAA
rnacentral:rRNA from 1 species